rnacentral:rRNA from 1 species
GAUGAACGCUGGCGGCGUGCCUAAUACAUGCAAGUCGAGCGAACGGACGAGAAGCUUGCUUCUCUGAUGUUAGCGGCGGGCGGGUGAGUAACACGUGGAUAACCUACCUAUAAGACUGGGAUAACUUCGGGAAACCGUAGCUAACACCGGAUAAUAUUUUGAACCGCAUGGUUCAAAAGUGAAAGACGGUCUUGCUGUCACUUAUAGAUGGAUCCGCGCUGCAUUAGCUAGUUGGUAAGGUAACGGCUUACCAAGGCAACGAUGCAUAGCCGACCUGAGAGGGUGAUCGGCCACACUGGAACUGAGACACGGUCCAGACUCCUACGGGAGGCAGCAGUAGGGAAUCUUCCGCAAGGGGCGAAAGCCUGACGGAGCAACGCCGCGUGAGGGAUGAAGGUCUUCGGAUCGUAAAACUCUGUUAUUAGGGAAGAACAUAUGUGUAAGUAACUGUGCACAUCUUGACGGUACCUAAUCAGAAAGCCACGGCUAACUACGUG